AGUGAACGCUGGCGGUAGGCCUAACACAUGCAAGUCGAACGGCAGCACAGUAAGAGCUUGCUCUUACGGGUGGCGAGUGGCGGACGGGUGAGGAAUAUAACGGAAUCUACUUUUUCGUGGGGGAUAACGUAGGGAAACUUACGCUAAUACCGCAUACGACCUACGGGUGAAAGCAGGGGAUCUUCGGACCUUGCGCGAUUGAAUGAGCCGAUGUGGGAUUAGCUAGUUGGCGGGGUAUAGGCCCACCAAGGCGACGAUCCGUAGCUGGGCUGAGAGGAUGAUCAGCCACACUGGAGCUGAGCCACGGUCCUGGCUCCUACGGGCGGCAGCAGUGGGGAAUAUAGGCAGCUGGGCGGAAGCCUGAACCAGGCAUGCAGCGUGGGUGAAGCAGGCCCGCGGGUUGUAAAGCCGUUUUGUUGGGAAAGAACACCAGCGGCUUAAUACCACGCUGUUCUGACGGUACCCAUAGAAUAAGCACCGGCUACCUUCGU
rnacentral:rRNA from 1 species